rnacentral:rRNA from 1 species
AAUGAACGUUGGCGGCGUGGGUUAGGCAUGCAAGUCGCGCGACAAGGAACCUUCGGGUUCUGGAGGAGCGGCAAACGGGGUAGUAAGGCAUCGGAACGUACCCUCUUGUUGGGAAUAGCCGCGGGAAACUGCGAGUAAUGCCCAAUAAUCCCUACGGGGCAAAGGUCCGCCGCAGGAGGAGCGGCCGAUGUGAUACCAGCUAGUUGGUGAGGUAAUGGCUCACCAAGGCUUAGACGUCUAGGGGGUGUGAGAGCAUGGCCCCCACCACUGGGACGUGAGAUACUGCCCACGACACCUACGGGUGGCUGCAGUCGAGAAAUCUUCGGCGAAUAGGGCGG